CUUUUGUGAAACAUGAAAUUUAAGUUGUAUGUUUUGUAAAACAUGAAAUUUAAGUAAGUUUAAGAUGUUAUAUAUAUAUAUAUAUGACAUUUCUAAUCUGUACAUCUUUUAAGUUUGAAAAUUAGAUAUUUUACAUUAAAUGAACAUCUGGAUUCCAUGGACAGUCCACCUGGUCAUGGUCCUAUUUGGACAUAGUCUUAUUUGGACAUGGUGUUAUUUGGGCUCGACCAAAAAACGCCCAGAAAAAAAAUAAGCCAAUCUAGACACGUCCAAAUUCACCCAAUCCGUCCAAUUGACAUCCCUAAUUAUGAUAAUCCUUCUCGGGCUGCUACUAUAAUAAUGGUCAUAUCGGAUCAUGUGGAUUGUAUUUCACAUUAUCUUGUCGAGCUACUAUAAGAGAAUAAUUACAAGCUUUUCCUGUCUUAUUCAUUUAGACCUUUCAAAACGUCAUUUCUGCUUACUUCUGCAGAAUGGCUUUGGGAAAACAUACUUGCAGGUUCCGAACAAACAAGACUUGUUCUUCACAAGUGUAGCAGUGAAAGCGGUGAACCUACCGCUACGUUUAAUUGCAGUUUGUGCCACUUUGGUACCAAAAGCAUUGAUCAGUUCAGGAAGCAUCUCUCUACUGAUAAAGAACAUGCAAAAGAAGAGAUGAGACUUCCUGCCUCUCGUAAACGUAACAUUAAGGAGAAUAGGCGAUCGCGAGUUGCUGACUUCGAUCGAAAAGGCAAACGUACGAAGUAAGCAAGUCCUGAUGGUUCUUGAUGAUGUGAUCUUGUUACUAAGUUAUCAGCAGCAACUCUUGCUUUUCGUUUAGUAGUCUAUGUUUUAAUUUGAAAUAUUUGUUUUUUCAUUUUGCUUUUUUUUUUUUAGUACCCAUGGUUUUAUCUUAUCUAAGAAAAACAUUAACUUAAAUCUCUUAUUGUUCACUAAUUAAUGUUAUUCCCUGAUUAUGGACACUGUUUAUUAGCUCUCUUUUUUUUAGAUUAGCUUAAUCUACAAUACCAAGAGGUGCUAUAUGAUCAUUAUCUUGCCUAGUGACACAAGGCAAAAUCCUUUCAGCCAAUUAAUUUGUCACAUCAAAUAAUCAUCUAUACUAAUUAAACAUAAUGCAUGUCUUAUAGCUUAAUCAACCCACGUUUCUGUUUUUAGCCAUGUUGAUCAAUCUCCUUUACACAAAACGAAGGCCACCUUGCAGUGGUAUUAUUUUAGGUGAAACUUUUUUGCCAGUUGCCAUGGCGCCAGCAAUUCCUGUUAGUAAUUCUAUAAUGAUGAUUAUGAUAAUGUUAUCAUCCAAGUGGAGAUAUACCCUUUAAAAAAAAACAAGUGGAGAUUUACCUACAAUCUAAAAUAAAGCACCAAAAAGAAAAAGAACUAGAUCUUGAUCCGCGCAACCGCGCGGGUGUUUGUUUUUAAUUAUAUAUUUAUUUAUUUAUUUAUGUAUUUUAGAUCAUUAGUGGUAUACAUUUUAAUGUUAAUAAUAUAUUUAAAUAUUUAUGUAACUAUUUCAAAUAUAAUAAUUUUAUAGUUUACAUAUUGUAAUUAAUCAAUUGUUUAAAACCGUCACAGUUUCUUAAUAUAUAUUUAUCUUAUCGUAUUUGUAUUUACUUAUUGAAAAAAUAAUAUAUACAUGAAACAACCUAUUUAAAAUUAUUUUGUAUUAAAUUUAUGCUCAAUUCUGAGCCACCGGCUUUCAAAGCCAAAUUUUCUUUUAGCAAUAUUUGUUACGUUUAUUCAUUUUAGAUAAUAUAUUAUUAUAUAUACAAAAGUAUAUGUCAAUUUUAUACAUGUAUUAUAUAGUUUACGAAUCUUAAGUCAUUUUGUCAUCGUAUUAUAUUUUUAGCAUAAAUAUUUAAUAUUUAUGAAAAGAAAAUUUAUAAAUUUAUCAAUUUAAUAUAGUUUUAUCAUAUUUAGUUCAAUGUAAUAAUUUUAUUAUAACAUGAAUUAUUAUUAUUAUAAAAUAGGUAAAAAUAAGAUAGAUUUUCAUUUUAUAAACGAUAACUGAAUAUAUAUUAAUUCAUAAUAAUAGUUCAUUGUUAAUUACGAAAUUAGUUAAAAUAUUUACAUAAAGAAUUUGAAACCUAAGAUAUUGUUAAAUAUUUCUCAACAGAUUUGUUAGAAUCUUUAAUAUAUAUAUAUAUAUAUAUAUAUAAUGCAAAAACUUAUCAUGAUUAAAGUAGUUACAAAGAUUUUAUAUUAUUAGCUUUAAUGAAAUUCAUGUUAAUUUUUAAUACAUGUAUUAUAUAGUUUGCUAAUGUCAACCCGUGUUCCCAACAUAUUAUAUUUUGAACAUAAAUACUUAUGAAAAUAAAUUAUAUAAAUGUAACAAUUUAAUAUAUUAGUGGUAUGUAAUCUCUUAAUAUGAUUGGUUAUGAUUAUAUAAUAGAUAAAAAUAGGAUAUAAUUUAUAUUUUUUUUUUAUAAACUAAAUUAAUGUAUAUUCUGAAAAUGAUCGAACCUGAACCAAAUCGAAAACCUAAAAAAAAAAUAUAAUCUGAAAACUAACCGAAAACCAAACACCUAUACCUAAACAUAUUAAUGAACAAAAAAACAUAUUAA